rnacentral:rRNA from 1 species
UACGUAGGGAGCAAGCGUUGUCCGGAAUCAUUGGGCGUAAAGCGCGCGUAGGUGGCCUCAUAAGUCCACUGUGAAAGUCAAAGGCUCAACCUUUGAAAGCCGGUGGAUACUGUGAGGCUAGAGUACGGAAGAGGCGAGUGGAAUUCCUGGUGUAGCGGUGGAAUGCGCAGAUAUCAGGAGGAACACCAAUAGCGAAGGCAGCUCGCUGGGACGUUACUGACACUGAGGCGCGAAAGCGUGGGGAGCGAACAGG